UGAACCUAAGAUUUUGGAGCCUCAGUCAUGAAAGACUCUGCAUAACCAUUAUUCUAUCUCUUCUGCCCUCUAUCUCCAUCUUACUCUAUCUCCUUUUUUGUUAUUUUAGUUUUAUUUAUUAUUGGAUAGAGACAGAUAUAAAUUGAGAGGGGAUGGGGAGACAGAGAUACCUACAGCCCUACUUCACCACUUAUGAAGCUUUCUCCCCUGCAGGUGGGGACCAGGGACUUGAAACUGGAUCCUUGUGCACUAUAAUGUGUGAUCUUAACCAGGUGCGCCACCAACAGGCCCUAUCUUGCUCUAUCUCUACUGUCCUGAAGAAGGAACCAAAAUUCAGAGGUAGAAAGAGACGGGGACUCAGAGAGAAGGAGAGACACCAUGACACUGCUCCACCACUCAUGAAGCUUCCUUUGGUGGUGUGCAUGAUACUUCCAUGUGGUGCUGGGGUAUAAAAUACAUGGAAUGAGCCUGGGAGAUCUGGCUAAAAUCUUCAAGUCAUUUCCUGCUAACAUUUGACUGUGUCUCCUUUUAGAAGGUAGGAAAUGACCUUUAAAGAUGACGUAGUGGGAUUUAGAUAAAUCUUUAUAGUACUUGCAUUUUCCAAGUGCCAACCCCAAAUUCCCAGCCUAAAUCAUCAUACACAUUACAGUGGGUGGUGGGUCAUUAUAAUUUCAAUGAACUCAUGAGCUUCGUCUCUCUCUGUGUUGGGACCACCGAGGAAGCAGAAACUGUUGGGGUAUAGGGAGAAAAUGUCACAGAAGGUAUGAAUGUUGUAGUAAGUUUUAAAAACUGAAGAGGAAAAAUUCCAAGUUAAUACUAGCCUAUCUAAGAAAAUAUGUUCUAUUGAAACUACAUUUCUCUUUUUCUAGGUUACUAUUGAGAGCUAACUGAUCUUGCUGACUAAACUGGGCAAAUGCACAAAAGUUUGGCCCUCUGACAAGACAAGCUGAACUUUCUGUCACUUGUGCUUUGAAUGUUCAUUUGUUGUGUAUAGAUCGUUGUGGUGACAGAAAACAAAAGGUGACUUUCUUAAGACCUAUGGUAGUUUUUUUUUUUUUGACCCAUGGUAGUUUUCAAAGGGAAAAUUACUAUGCAAAAACUGACAUGUACUAUGAUAGGAUUCAGUGUGUGGCAGCAUGUAAGUUAUAAGAUCAGGACCACUUUUCAGCUUGUAAAAUGGUUAAUCAAAUUAAAAUCAUCACUUGUUUCUGUUUUAUUGGUUCAUUCAUUGACUUUAUCUCUGUGUGUGACAUUUUCCCAUGAGUUUGGCCUAUAGAAAUGACAAAAACAAACAAACAAAAAAAUCAUGACCUCUACCUGCCUUAAGGGAGUUUAUAAAUUAGCCCAAACUGAGUGGAGGAUGUAAAGCACAUCUAAUUCUACCAGUUAGAAUAAAAGCAAUAUGUCCUGAGAAUACUUAGAUGAGAUCAGGCAUGUUCAGGGUGGUAGGGCUGUAGACCAGAGAAUAAUCAAAGAAAUACAUAAAGUUUCCCAUGCAAAUCAAGCAUUAUAUGGGAAAACUCAGUUGUUAAUUUUACUCUACAUAUGUACAUGAAAAUGCUUGUAUACAGAUGGCUUUUCUAUUAUUUUUAUUUGUUAUCAAUACUAUAAGAUUUUAUUUGUUACUAAUAGUAUAAGAUUGCAUAUAAAUAGUUCUAUACCACAACCAUGACCAAAGUUCUGUAUCCCCACCCUCCCAAAGAUAGCUGCUAUAGUAAAUAGAUGUCUUUUUAAUAAUCAGUUCUGGGAUUCCCACACAGACAUGAUGGGCCUACACCUCUAACAGAUCCCUCUCUCCAUUGCCACUGGUCAUCUCCAUCAGGAACAACAUAAUGGACCCCUCUGUGGGCCUCUACAGGACCUUGCCCUCAUUGUGGAUCAACAAUGUUAAGGAAUGUUCCUUUCUCUGAAGGGAGGUUGGACAACAUACUCUAUCUACUACCCAAGGAAGAUGGGUCUUGAAAUUAGUGUAGCCAUUCUGGAAUGUUCCUAGCCAUGACCACAGAAUGUGAGCUCAGACCUACAGGAAUGCAAAGGCUACAUUGGCUCCUUUGCUGAAUAUGGGUCCCAGAUCAAAUCAGUGGGGUUUACAGUUAACAAUAUUUCUACACUUUCCCUAUAUUUGCGAGCUGCUUUUCCCUGAUCCAGCUUUCUAGUCCUUUUUCCAACUGUGACACCAUCUCCCCAGACAAUAACUUGGGUUCACCUGCAUAUUAGCUGUUUUACAGGCAAAAACUAGUAAAGCCAUGGGCCCCUUGGAACAUACUUAAAAUAGACCUACUAGCUUUACCCAAAAUGGAGGGCCCCCUCAAAAAAAAUCUCCAUCUGCAAUAUUCCUGCCUUUAGGUUCAUGAUUAGUCAACAACUUGUUCUGCUUUAUAUCUUAACUCUUCAGCCACCAGGUUCCAGAUGCUACCAUGAUGCUAGCCUAACUUCCCUGGGCAGACGACUCCACCAAUGUUUCCUGGAGCCCUGCUUUCCCAGAGCCCUGUCCCAUAGGGAUAGAGACAUGCUGCGAGUAUGGGCUGACCUACCAAUGCCCAUGUUCAGUGGGGAAGCAAUAACAGAUGCCAGACCUUCCACCUUAUGCACCCCACAAUGAUCUUGGGUCCAUACUCCCAGAAAGAUAAAGAAUAGGAAAGCUAUCAAGGAAGGGGAUGGGAUAUGAAAUUCUGGUGGUGGGAGCUGUGUGGAAUUGUACCCCUCUUAUCCAAUGGUCUUGUCAAUAUUUCCAUUUUAUAAAUAAAUAAAAAAAUGUUUAAAAAAUCAGUUCUGGCUGGCUACAGGUGGAGUGUAGAUCAAACCUGGCAUCUAUCAUAUGCAAGUCCUGAGCACUGAUGCUGUGAUAUCUCCCCAGCCUUGUCUUAAAGAUAUUUGAAGGAGAGAAGUGAGACUAAUUUUGCCUUUUAUUUUUGCCUCCAGGGUUUUUGCUGGGGCUCAGUGCCUGCACUCGAAUCCACUGCUCCUAGAGUCUAUUUUCCCCUUUUUGUUGCCCUUGUUGUUUACUGUUGUUGUUAUUAUUGUUGUUAUUGCUGUCAUUUUGUUGGAUAGGACAGAGAGAAAUCGAGAGAGAGGGGAAGACAGAGAGGGGGAGAGAAAGAUAGACAUUUACAGACCU